rnacentral:rRNA from 1 species
AUUGAACGCUGGCGGCAGGCCUAACAAAUGCAAGUCGAACGAGAGGCGGACGGGUGAGUACAGUCUGGGAAAAUGCCUGAUGGAGGGGGAAAACUACGGGAAACGGUAGCUAAUCCCGCAUACUAUCGGAUGUGUCCAGAUGGGAUUAGCUAGUAGGUUGGGUAACGGCUCACCUAGGCGACGAUCCCUAGCUGGUCUGAGAGGAUGACCAGCCACACUGUAACUGAGACACGGUCCAUACUCCUACGGGAGGCAGCAGUGGGGAAUAUUGCACAAUGGGCGCAAGCCUGAUGCAGCCAUGCCGCGUGUAUGAAGAAGGCCUUCGGGUUGUAAAGUACUUUCAGCGGGGAGGCGUUACCCGCAGAAGAAGCACCGGCUAACUCCGUGCCAGCAGCCGCGGUAAUAC